GUGGGGAAUUUUGGACAAUGGGCGAAAGCCUGAUCCAGCCAUGCCGCGUGCAGGAUGAAGGCCUUCGGGUUGUAAACUGCUUUUGUACGGAACGAAAAGACUCCUUCUAAUAAAGGGGGUCCAUGACGGUACCGUAAGAAUAAGCACCGGCUAACUACGUGCCAGCAGCCGCGGUAAUACGUAGGGUGCGAGCGUUAAUCGGAAUUACUGGGCGUAAAGCGUGCGCAGGCGGUGAUGUAAGACAGUUGUGAAAUCCCCGGGCUCAACCUGGGAACUGCAUCUGUGACUGCAUUGCUGGAGUGCGGCAGAGGGGGAUGGAAUUCCGCGUGUAGCAGUGAAAUGCGUAGAUAUGCGGAGGAACACCGAUGGCGAAGGCAAUCCCCUGGGCCUGCACUGACGCUCAUGCACGAAAGCGUGGGGAGCAAACAGGAUUAGAAACCCGGGUAGUCC
rnacentral:rRNA from 1 species